rnacentral:tRNA from 1 species
GGGCGAUUAGCUCAGUUGGUAGAGCAUCUCCUUUACACGGAGGUGGUCGGCGGUUCGAGACCGUCAUCGCCCACCA